rnacentral:rRNA from 1 species
CAGUCGCCGCGGUAACACGUAAGGUGCGAGCGUUGUUCGGAAUUAUUGGGCGUAAAGGGCAUGCAGGCGGUCGUGCAAGCCCGGCGUGAAAGGUGGGGGCUCAACUCCCAAACUGCGCUGGGAACUGCAAGGCUUGAGUUUCUGAAGGGCAGCCGGAAUUCCACGUGUAGGGGUGAAAUCUGUAGAUAUGUGGAAGAACACCAAUGGCGAAGGCAGGCUACCGGCAGAAGACUGACGCUGAGGUGCGAAGGUGCGGGGAGCAAACAGGAUUAGAUACCCCCGUAGUCCCUGUCUCUUAUAA